UACGGAGGGUGCGAGCGUUGCUCGGAAUCACUGGGCGUAAAGGGUGCGUAGGCGGGUUCUUAAGUCAGGGGUGAAAUCCUGGAGCUCAACUCCAGAACUGCCUUUGAUACUGAGAGUCUUGAGUUCGGGAGAGGUGAGUGGAACUGCGAGUGUAGAGGUGAAAUUCGUAGAUAUUCGCAAGAACACCAGUGGCGAAGGCGGCUCACUGGCCCGAUACUGACGCUGAGGCACGAAAGCGUGGGGAGCAAACAGG
rnacentral:rRNA from 1 species